CCUACGGGGGGCAGCAGUGAGGAGUAUUGGUCAAUGGACGAGAGUCUGAACCAGCCAAGUAGCGUGAAGGAUGACUGCCCUAUGGGUUGUAAACUUCUUUUAUAUGGGAAUAAAAUGUUCCACGUGUGGGAUUUUGUAUGUACCAUAUGAAUAAGGAUCGGCUAACUCCGUGCCAGCAGCCGCGGUAAUACGGAGGAUCCGAGCGUUAUCCGGAUUUAUUGGGUUUAAAGGGAGCGUAGGUGGAUUGUUAAGUCAGUUGUGAAAGUUUGCGGCUCAACCGUAAAAUUGCAGUUGAAACUGGCAGUCUUGAGUACAGUAGAGGUGGGCGGAUUUCGUGAUGUAGCGGUGAAAUGCUUAGAUAUCACGAAGAACUCCGAUUGCGAAGGCAGUUCACUGGACUGCAACUGACACUGAGGCUCGAAAGUGUGGGUAUCAAACAGGAUUAGAUACCCCAGUAGUC
rnacentral:rRNA from 1 species